UGAGCUCCGUAAGGGCAGGAUCUGCAGUUUCAUCUUUCUAUCCUGGGCACUCAGUUCACUGCCUGAUACACAGUAAUAGAGGCACAAAUGUUUCAAAAGUUGAGGAAUUUUCAGCACUUCCUGAAAGAAUAGGAAGAUAUAAAGGCUUCUCAGAGAAGGUAUUAUUUAAGCUUUUCUUUUUCUUUUUCUUUUUUUUUUUUCAGAUGAUGUCUCACUCUGUCACCCAAGAUGGAGUGCAAUGGCACGAUCUCAGCUCACUGCAACCUCUGCCUCCCAGGGUGACUGGACGUGUUGAUCAGCGCUCGCUGGGAUUUGGCUGACGUGGCCCCAACCCCGCCUCCCUCCCCACCCCACAAUGGCAGAAGAAACUCGACAGUGUAAAUUAGCUGCAGCCAA
rnacentral:lncRNA from 1 species